rnacentral:lncRNA from 1 species
UUCUGAGGAAAGAUCUCUGGUUGGUGAUCUCUCCUUUGUGGAGCUUUCCCAAUGAGCCUCAAUCUUCAGGUAGAAGGCUUCCCAUCUUGCAGCAAGGAGUUCCAAACGUGAUUAUGAGUUGAGUGAGAAGGUUCCAAAUGCAGCUCCUUGACUUGAGAAAGAGGCAAGAUGAGACUAGGAGGCCAGAGCAGAAACCCAGCAAAAACCAAAUCUAGGGGUAGCAGCACCCACAGCGUACUUAAUUCCUCAUAAUCUGUCAUUGCCUAACGCUGCUUAUUGUUAGGCCAUGAAAACCCAGUCUGAAUCCUUGCACUGUCACCCACCUCUAUGUCUACUGAGUCAUAGUUAACUCCUAUUCUCGCAUGCAAAGCCAUGCACAGCUCUGCUCUGGCACUGCCUUUCCCCACUGCUCUUUAAUAACUGUUGUUUCACAGCUGGCCUACUUGUCAGCACAAUGAUCAGCCAGGGCAACAUGAGAUAAAUACAGGGGUUCCAGUGAUUUAGUGCUUCCCAAAGUUCACUACUUCUGCACUGCUUGAAACGCUGAUGUUAUUUGUACUAUAUCAUUCAACAAAAGACGAAACUUAGAUUAAAAUUGAAAUUAACAGUGCGAAUUUAGUGCUCAGCUGGUAAUCUCAGCUCAAAUAUACAUGUAGUUAAACACUUGAAGGAAAUAGAAUUGCUUUUUAGGUUCUCCAUCCCCUCAAAAGCCAGGAUCUUUACAUAUCCAGUGAUAUCUAAGGAUUCAGGGGCAAUUUUAUGCAAAGAUUUUUUGAAAACUGCAAUCAGUAUCUACAUUUGAAGUAGCUAGCAUCCUGAAAUUAUU